CAAAGUCAUUGCUUCACACUUGUAGUUUCCAAUAGUAAUGAGAUUAGUACUGAUACUGCCUGAUGCUUCUAGGAAACAUUUGGUCAGACACAACUGCAACAGUUCCAAAAGGCUCCAGAAAACAGAGGCAAAGUCUAUCACUGCGUGGCUAACUACAGAAACUGUUCCCAACAUCCUUAGCGAGGGUUUUGCACCAGGUCAAAGGGGAACAGGAAUUCGUGUGCUGCAACAUAGAAAGAUUUGUUGACAAUUAACAAUGGAAGUACAAGGAGGAUAAA
rnacentral:lncRNA from 1 species